CCUGGGCUCAAGUGAUCCUCUUGCCUUGGCCUCCCAACUAGCUGGAACUACAGGAAAAAAGUAGUACCCUAAUGAAUGAGUGAGGAGUAUCACUUUAAACUCCAUGACCAAACAAGAAAGCUAUAAAGACUCAGUUACUGGAACCAGUUUCCUGAGUCGGCAUUAUUUCCCCUACACUUCCUUUGGAAAUGCAGCAUGAGCAACACAGAUGAAUUAGAAGGGAAACUCCUCUACAGGCACUUAAGUCUUUUGACAGCUGCUGUCCACUCCAUCACUGAUUGCUGAUCGACCAUUGUCACGGAAGCCAGAUAACUGCCACCCAGUCUCCAGCUUAUCGGACACCCAAGGCCAGCCAAAGACAUCUGAGGAGCUGAGAGGCUACAGCUGAGAAGAGUCCCCUUGGUCUUGCUGACUGACUUCUUGGCUAAGAGACGUUGCAUUGAGUAAAUCCAUGGGGAUUGGACUCUAGGUGAACA